GAUGUUAAACUGGCUUACUAUAG
rnacentral:piRNA from 1 species